rnacentral:rRNA from 1 species
GAUGAACGCUGGCGGCGUGCCUAAUAAAUGCAAGUCGAGCGGAGCGGGGACGGGUGAGUAACACGUGGAACACCUCCUAUAAGACUGGGUAAAAUUCGGGAGACCGGAGCUAAACCGGAUAAUUCAGAGUGGAUACGCGCUGCAUUAGGUAGUUGGUAAGGUAACGGAUUACCAAGGCAACGAUGCAUAGCAGACCUGAGAGGUUGAUCGUCCCAACUGGAACUGAUACACGGUCCAUACUCCUACGAGAGGCAGCAGUAGGGAAUCUUCCGCAGUGGGGGAAAGCAUUACGCAGCAACGCCGGUUGUGUGACGAAGGUCUGCGGAUCGUAACACUCUGGUAUUAGGGAUGCGGUACCUGAUUAGAAAGCCACGGCUAACUACGUGCCAGCCGCCGCGGUAAUAC